GCUGUGACUCAAGUGGUAGAGAGAGAGCCUACCAAAUGUAUUUAGACAACAGUAUGAGAGAUAUGAGUUGAGGUUAAAGAGAUAACAUUAUUUUUGUUACAUGCUUUGCUAUAUGUGUAAAUUUUAAACCUAGAAUCAUCAGAAUUCCUUGUCACUGCAGUUGUAGAAAGUUGAGAUUGAGGCAGAAUAUUGAAUGUAGAUAUAUGUGCACGAAUUUAAAGGGAACUGGUAAUUAGUAAUAUUUUCUAGAUUCUUGGGGAAAUUGUGGAUGACUUAUAAAUGGUCUCAGGGUUGUUGGUUCUUCUUAUGGAAAAUAUGCCUCUGUUAUACAUUAUUUAAAGUACUUGUUUAUGAAAAAUUUCAAAGGUAUUGAAGGCUACAAUACAAAAAU